CAGGCUUCUCCCCCACGUGGAUGUAGGAAUGACUGUCAGCUAGCUCAGAGCUGGGACUCACGCUAAAAGACACUCUUGAGGAUAGAGUAUAGCGGGGCAAGAGUGAGGUGGUGUUGGUCUAGCCGUACUGAGGAACACACUAUGGAGCAGAUACCCAGCUCAGCAUUUCAAAUGCCAUUUGAUAGAGCUAAGACUAUGACAAGCCGAAAGAAACGCCUUGAACGAAGUGAUGACAACAACAACUGUUGGUGUGUUAUGGGAGGGGCUGGAGGACGAAGGAUCGGGCAAUGUGGUUGUCGCAAACUCCAGGAGGUUCAAAGGUCGUCCUGUGGACGUACUUCAUACAACAGUGGAGACAAUUAUCUCAGUAGUACAUACUGAAUCAUACUGAAUGCACUAGUCAAACUAAUGCCCCCCUACCAGGGAUAGGUGGGGAUUUACCAAUCACAUGAUCUAAUCUCCCUACCUUUGGGCAAGUUAUGAGGUCUAAUCCGUUUUUUUUAUAUAUUCCAGCUCUGUAAGAUCGUACACACACACACACCCGAUCCUCGUACACACACACACACACGGCCCUCGUACACACACACACACACACACAGGGCUAUGUGGUUCGUAUCAGCGGUGGCAAUGACGAGCAGGGCUUCCCCAUGAAGCAAGGUGUCCUCACUAAUGGCCAUGUUAAGCUCCUCCUCUAGAAGUGGCACAGUUGUUACAGACCCUGAAACGCAAGUCAGUGAGAGGCUGGACAGCAACCUGAGUGUGCUCAAUCUAGUCAUCAUCAAGAAAGGUUGGUGGAGGAGCACUCUAAAACACUGGAUAGGGUCACUGAACUAUGGAAGCAGAAGCAUGGCCGGUCAAUUGGGACGAUGUGCGUAUGCACACACACACACACACACACACACAC